GAUUGUCUGUUUUACUGUUGCUGCUUUCGAUUGGAGCUCCAAGGAAUAGAUUACACUAACUUGUGUACAGAGACUUACAGAUCAACACAGAGAUAGGAGAUGAUGGAUCCUGCUCUCCUUUUCGUUCUUGGACUCACUUUCCACUUCUCCACAAGAACUUUCUUUAUAUUUGUGCAGCUUGUUAUCAUCGUGGCUACUCCAGCAGCGGUAAUACCAGGGCAAUAGACCAUGUGGCUAGUUUCCAACAAGGUACACCUAUUAGCAAUAUAACUUAAACCUACAUCAGUUAUUUGACGACAGUGAGACAACACAAUAUCCCUCAGCAAGGGACAUCCUUCACCUAGCUCCACCAUGGCCAUAUCACCCAAAUCCUGGAGUACACUCACAUCCAAGUAACUGAGUUCAGGGCACCCCCUUGCUAUGGCAAU
rnacentral:misc_RNA from 1 species